CUUAUUAUUGAACUACGGUAUGUUGGUGUUGGAUUUCUCUGGUAUCCAUUAGCUUAUUUCCCUCCUCCGCCAUUAUGUUUUCUAAGUGGAGUGGAGUGCAGAGAGCGGAGCUAGCUAAUCAGCUAGUUUAGCCUUCAGGCUGCGGACUGUUUUGGAAGGGAGGAGCGAUGGAUGGAUGCUUUGCCCUGCAACGUUUACAUUUGUUUUAACAGAAUGCGCCGACAAAAUUUACCCAUUGAUAUCCAUCGCGCAAUUGUGGAUAGCUGCUAAUUCGCAGCGUUAAUAAAUAAUACAGGAACAUAUUUUUUCUUUAUAGGUAGAAGAUUAACGCUAGCUGAGGCUGUUUAAGUGGCUAACGUUUCACAGCUAGCAGCUCCUCCUUGCUGUCUACAGUCGCAUUCUUGUGUCUCCUGCCCCAGGAAUGUUCUCCAAAAAGCCUCAUGGGGACGUUAAAAAAUCAACACAGAAAGUGUUGGACCCAAAGAAGGACGUGCUGACGAGGCUAAAACAUCUCAGAAUAGUCAUAGAAAAUGCAGAGCCGUCAGAGUUGAAGCAGUUCUUCGACCUGAACUACUCCCAUAUCUACUAUGUCUUCUUUGAGAACUUUGUCAUCAUUGAGGUUAGCCUCAAGCAAAAAGGUCACAAGUCCCAGAGGGAGGAGCUGGACUCAAUUCUCUUCAUCUUUGAGAAAAUUCUCCAGCUUUUGCCGGAGAGAAUCCAGAGCCGAUGGCAGUUUCACAGCAUUGGGCUGAUCCUCAAAAAGCUGUUGCACACUGGGAAUUCUCUGAAGAUCCGUCGUGAAGGUGUGCGCUUGUUCUUGCUCUGGAUGCAGGCAUUACAGAGUAAUGCGGAGCGUGAGCAGCUCUGUAUGUUUGCCUGUUUGAUUCCUGGCUUCCCAGCUCCACUCUGCCAUGGGACCCAACGCACCCUGGACACUCUGAUCAACCCACCGCUGAGUUUAACAGAGACUCAGGUUACCCCAGAAGAGAUCACACCAUUGGUUCCUCCUCAGUCAGGUGACAAGAACCAGGAAGACCUUACUGCUUACUUUUUAGAAGCACUACUCAAAUACACGGUAAACCAGGCCAAGUCUCUUGAGUGGCGUUGUAAAGAGAACCAUGAACGUGGCUUCAGUUUCCUCUUUGGUCACUUCAGGAAGUUUUACCUUCCCCACAUCUUUCCCAACUUCGCCAUGGAAACCAGCCUCUACAACCCAAUACUGGACGUGCCUCCGAUGCGUCCUAAGCCCUACUACAGCGUAGUGCGCAGGGAACAAGAUGGUGGAGAAACAGUGUACUGCACCAAGGAGAGCUUCCUUCAAGCCCGAGUCAUCUUCAUCCGCUGGCUGGUUUCCUUCUGGCUCGAGCCACGGCCCAACACACACGCAAACAUCCCAGGAACAGAGGGAGAGAACGUUCCUAAGAACAUACAGCGAGCAGCAGCUGGACUGGCAGCUCGCUCUGCAGGCAGCUCAGAUGACAGCGGUGGAGGUGGGAUUCGGUCAGACAUCCACCUUGAAGGUAGCGGGUGCUCAUCUGGAUCAGGCGGAGGGGGCCUUGGGCUAUCUGGGGGUCCAGGGUCGGGAAGUGAGCCUGAACAAAGCCACUCCAACACAUCCACGCUGACAGAGAGGGAGCCAAGCUCUUCCUCUCUGUGCUCCAUGGAUGAAGAGCAGCUUACGGACAUGGAGGUGGUGAGGAGAGUACUGACCAGCUCCAGAACCAACGUCAACUUCAUCACUGAGAUCUUUAGACAGGCAUUUCUCCUUCCCAUGUGUGAAGCUGCAGCGAUGCGUAAAGUGGUCCGUGUUUACCAGGAGUGGAUUGCCAUGGAGGACAGGCCAGUGUUUAUGAAGGAGCCGGAGGAGGGCCCCUAUCCCACAACCAGCAACCUGGAUUCAGGCUCUCAGAUUGGAGAAAAGGAGGAUGAGGGAAUAAACAAGGCGGUUGACAGUGAAUUGCUGGAGUACAGCGUUCAUGCUGGAGUUCAGACGACACUACAGGUAUUUAUCACCCACUCCUCCAACGUUUUCCUAUUGGAGCCAGCCAACGAUAUCAAGAUCCUUUUGGAGGAGCAAGUCGACAUGUGCAAGCGUGUCCUGAACAUCUACCGCAGCCUUGUUAUGCAUGAGACCAUGGACCAGAAAACAUGGGAGCAGGUCUUACUGGUUCUGCUGAGGGUGACAGAGUCUGUGAUGAAAAGACCUCCGUCCAUCAUGCCCCAGGGCAAAAAGAACAACACACUAUCAGGCAGACUGGCUGGACCUAUCUUUCAGACACUGAUAGUAGCCUGGAUUAAGGGGAAUUUAAAUGUCUACAUCAGCAGAGAACUGUGGGACGACCUCCUCUCCGUCCUCUCCUCUCUUACCUGCUGGGAUGAACUGGUUACUGAGUGGUCACUCACCAUGGAGACCCUCACCAAGGUGUUGGCCAGGAACCUGUACAGUGUUGAUCUGAAUGAGCUGCCUCUGGACAAACUUAGUGAGCAAAAACAGAAGAAACAUAAAGGAAAAGGUAUAGGUUCGGAGGGCCAGCGGCAGAUUGUGGAUCGUUCCUUCUCUAAAGGCUGGAGCAGAGACCAACCAGGCCAUGCAGCAGCCAUGAGGCAGCGAAGCGCCACCACCGCUGGUUCCCCAGGCAUCGAAAAGGCCAGGAGUAUUGUUCGCCAGAAGACUGUAGACCUUGAGGACCCGCCAAUCACACUGGCAUCCCGCACAUCUCGGAUGCGCCACUCUUCCCAGAGCGAGGAGGCCCCUCCCACCUCCUGUUCUGAGGUCUUCCAUGCAGGGGUUUGUGACCUGGAUGCCCAUGCCCCUUCCUCCCUUGCAAGGAGCAGCAGUGCCUCUGACAUCAUGGAGCCUUUCAUCGUUGAGCGGGUUAAAGCUAACAAAGACGAGGUGGUUCAGAAAGCUCGUCCAGUCUCCAGUGACGUAGGAAGUGCCAACCCAAACUUUUCUGACCUCAUGGAUGAGUUUAUCCAAGAGAGACUGAGGGCCAAAGGAACAGCGGGCCGACGUGGCAGCAGCCCGGGAAGUCUGGAGGUUCCCAGGGACCUGCCGGAGCUCCUGGAGGCAGGUCAGAGUCCUGGAUCACGACCCUCAGAUGAUCCCCGUCCUAUUGAUGAUCCAGGAGUUCCCUCAGAAUGGACGUCACCUGCAAGUGCCAGCGGUUCGGAUGUCAUCAGCUCAGACAGCCAGUCGGACUCCUUUAAUGCCUUUCAGUACUCCAACUGCAAGUUUGAUAAUUUUACAUUCAGUUCAGAACCAUGUGGAGUAGGUGUUGGGUCUGGGGGAGGAGGUCAAGGCAGCUCACUGGACCAAGACAGCCUGGGAGGGGGAAUGGCUUGUGAUGAACAUGAAGUAGCCAGUUUGACAACACUUCACAUCGACUCGGAGACGAGCAGCCUGAGCCACACUGUAACUGUUACUGGUUCUGAGAGUGCAUCUCCCAUGCAUUCCCUUGGGGGCUCUCGCUCCCAGACGCCCUCCCCUGCCACACUGACAGCAGAGCACGCUGAUCAUGCACACGCCCACUCACACACACAUCUACAGCUGGACCAAAAGCUCCACAACUCUGUCCUGCAGACUCCAGAUGACCUGGAAACUAGCGAGUUCCCCAGCGAGGACUGCAGUGUCAUGGCGGGUGGUUCUCUAACUGGAUGGCAUUCAGAUGUUGCCACGGUAAUGUGGCGGAGGAUGCUGGGUAUCCUGGGGGAUGUCAAUAGCAUCAAAGACCCAGAGAUCCAUGCUCAGGUUUUCGACUAUCUGUGUGAACUUUGGCAAAACCUAGCCAAGAUAAGAGAUAAUUUGGGCAUUUCUCUGGACAACCAGUCAUCUCCCCCGCCCCCUGUUCUGAUCCCACCCCUGAGAAUCCUCACCCCCUGGCUCUUUAAGGCCACCAUGCUGACAGAACGUUACAAGCAGGGGAAACUUCAUGCCUACAAGCUGAUCUGCAGGAUCAUGAAGAGAAGGCAAGAUGUUUCUCCAAACUCAGACUUUCUCACACACUUCUACAACAUCAUGCACCAAGGACUGAUGCAUCAAGACCAGGACAUUGUGAACACCAUCAUAAAACACUGCAGUCCAAGGUUCUUCAGUAUUGGUCUACCUGGAGCCACCAUGUUGAUCUUGGACUUCAUCAUCGCAGCUUCUAGAGUCACCGCCUGCUCAUCGCUCAACGCUCCAAGAGUGGAGGCCCAGAUCCUGCUGGGAUCUUUGGUGUGUUUUCCCAACUUGUAUGAGGAGCUUCCAGCCCUCCAUCCCACUACAGCCGACGUGGUGCUUACCAAGUUUCCUGACGUCAAGGAGCACAUUAUCAAAACCAUCUUGACCUCUGCCAGAGAGGAACCCUCUGCUCCUGCUCGGUGUGUGGCCCUGUGUAGUCUGGGAAUCUGGCUGUGCGAGGAGUUGGCUCAUGGGACUCAACAUUCACAGAUUAAAGAUGCUCUCAACGUAAUCUGUGUUACUCUGAAGUACUCCAAUAAGAAUGUAGCACUGGUGGCGUCAGACAUCCUUCACCUUCUGAUCAGUCAUGUAGAUCAUCUUCAGACAUUCCCUCCUGACACCCCAAAGAAGAUCGUUGAGAUUUUAAUCGCCACCAUCACACACUUGCUGCCUUCUACCGAGUCUUCUCCUCAUGAACUGGAUAAAAGGCUCGUAGUGUCCCUCCUGUUGUGUCUGUUGGACUGGGUUAUGGCUCUGCCUCCAAAGACUCUUCUUCAACCUGUUCAAACACAAAGCCCUCCAGAGAGGGACCAGCCUACCAAGACUCUGCUCAGCUGUAUUUAUAAGGUAUUACAUGGUUGUGUGUAUGGAGCACAGUCUUUCAACAGUCCCAAGUAUUACCCGCUGCAGCUGUCGGACCUGUUGAGUGCCGACUAUGACCCAUUCCUACCAUUAGAGAGCCUCCGAGAACCAGAACCACUGCACAGCCCGGACUCUGAACGCUCCAGCAAACUACAGCCUGUCACUGAAGUUCGUAGCUGUAUUCAGCAGGGUCUGGUUUCUAUCGCAGCAAGAACAGUUAUUACACACUUGGUCAACCAUCUAGGACAUUAUCCAAUGUCUGGAGGGCCUGCUACCCUGUCUAGUCAGGUGUGUGAAAACCAAGACAACCCGUUCUGUGAGAGUGCAGAUCUCGGGCCAGAGCUUUUCCAUUCACCAAACUUACAGUUUCUGGUUCUGAAUGGCUCCACACUGCUGUCUGUGUAUCAGAUCCGAACAGAGUCUGGUGUGCCAGGAGGCGGAAUGACAGCUGGUUUGUCCUCUGCUCCGGCUUGCGUCCGUGUUAUCAUCCGAGAUGUAGCCGGAAAACACUCUUGGGACUCUGCUGUACUCUACGGGCCUCCACCGUGUUCCCCAAACAGCCCAACACACACAUUCAUGUCACACACACACACACCUCACAGUGCGAAUCUUCAUUUACACACUCCACCAGGAGGUCCGCCUAAAAAGAUGGGAGUGAAUCGAGAAGACAGCAAAGAGGAGGGGCGGGAGGAAAGCGUGGCAGAGGAGGGGGGAAGAGGGAUUGAGGGUGAAAGGCAAGGGUUUCAGGGAGAGGGCAAUGAGGAAGGGGAGGAGAGGAAAGUCACUGAGGAGGGAAUGGGAGAUCAAAGAAGAGGUGAAGGAGAAGAGGAGGAGCAGGAGGAGGAGAGGACAGAGCUUAGGAUGGAUGGGGAGGUGGAUCGGGGGGAGACAGGCUUGGAACAGCUUCUAGCUCCGCCAUUGGCUAAACGUUUGUGUCGGGAGGCGGUGCCAGCAUGGGACUCACUGAGGGAGGGAGACGAUUCACUUGACGAAAUGCUGCAGUACCUGGGAUACUCGAGUCCUGAGUGUCUACAAAGAGCAGGCAUGCCGCUCAACAUCCCAGCUGCUCCUCCAGCGUGCGUUUCAGAAAAGCAGGAGAAUGAUGUGAUCAAUGCCAUCCUGAAGCAGAGCGCUGCUGAAAGAGAGUUUGUCCUUCAUAGAGGUGAGGAGCUGAACAUGAGGGCAGUGCAGCAGCCUGAACCAGAGACUGCAACACCACAGUCGGCCUUCUACUACUGCAGACUACUGAUCAACAUCCUGGGACUCAACUCCUGGGAGAAGAGGAGUAACUUUCAUUUGUUAAGGAAGAAUGAGAAGUUACUAAGAGAGCUGAAGAACCUGGACUCACGGCAGUGCCGCGAGACUCAUAAAAUAGCAGUAUUUUAUGUGGCUGAGGGCCAAGAGGACAAACACUCUAUACUAACCAACACAGCAGGCAGCCAGGCUUAUGAAGACUUUGUCUCUGGACUGGGCUGGGAGGUGGACCUUGCUACUCACUGUGGCUUCAUGGGAGGUCUCCAGAGGAAUCGCAGCACAGGCCAAACUACACCUUACUACGCCACCUCCACUACAGAGGUCAUCUACCACGUCUCCACCCGCAUGCCCCACGACCAGGACCAAAACCUCACCAAGAAGCUAAGACACCUGGGUAAUGACGAGGUCCACAUUGUUUGGUCGGAACAUUCCAGAGACUACCGACGAGGGAUCAUCCCCACUGAGUUUGGAGACGUGUUAAUCAUCAUAUAUCCCAUGAAGAACCACAAGUACUCCAUCCAUAUACUGAAAAAACCUGAGGUGCCAUUCUUUGGUCCACUGUUUGAUGGUGCCAUAGUGGACAUGAACAUUUUGUCAACCAUGGUCAGAGCCACAGCUAUCAAUGCCAGUCGAGCUCUCAAAUCCCUCAUCCCCCUAUACCAGAACUUCUAUGAGGAGCGAGCCCGGUACCUAGAAACCAUCGUGCAGCACCACCAGGAGCCGACCACAUUUGAGGAUUAUGCUGCUCGAGUCUACAGUCCUGCUCCCUGCACACACCUGCCCUCUGACACAGGCUCCAGCCUAGAGAUUCUUCGGGCAGAAAGUCCGGCUCUUGGGGAGGCCGGGAGCGACUCAGCGUCCCCCAUGUCUCCCCGGACUAGCAAGAGCCGCAUGUCCAUGAAGCUGCGACGCUCCUCUGGAUCAGCCAAUAAGACUUAAGAUCUUUAGAGUAUAUGGCCCAGUCCAAACUUAACAAGCAAUCAGACACUUAGUCUAUAUUAUAUAUACUAUUUUACACUGUAACUUUAUUUUGAAAAUGCUCACAGCUGCUGAAUUUAUCCUUCGCUUUGUUCUAAAAAAAAAAAAACUACAACACCAGAAACCAGUUGAGUCAAUGCUGCAGCAUGCUAAUCUUUGCCACAGUAGAAACAGCAGAACAAAUGCAGCCUAAGCAGUGCAGUAUUAGUUCAGAAUAAUCUGUGCCAUGUUAGAAAUUUCACCAACUCCAGUUGAAUCUGUGCCACAUUAUACACUGUUCUUUUUGGAGAGCUCCUUCAGUGAGAUCAGACUGCAGAACAGAGAGAGGUUGAACGUUGCUUUGGGGAAUCUGUAUAUUUGUACUAUAGUCAGUCCAUGUGUGUACAGACCAAAUCAUGAGUUUUGAUAUAAAAAAGAAUGAAUUCUGAAUGAUUGCACCUAUAGUGCUGCAUGGAGAAAGCAAGAUAAAAGUAUAUUUUUGUUCUCAGUAUAUUAGGCCUAUAAACAUGAAAGCAGGGGUAAGUUUGUAGUUGGUGCUCGUAAAAUGUAAAUAGAAAUUCGCUAAUUUGCUAACAAUAAAACAAAAACUUUGGUCGUGGAUGUGGCAACGCUCUCAAGCCAAAUAUUUUCUGUUUAAAUCCCCUCCUUGAACUCUUAGGGCUGACAGCUGACCCUUUGAGUGAAGACACGUGAGAACCAGUGGUAAAGUAAUAAUGAGGGAGGGAUUAUUUGUCUUUCAUAAAGGAGAGAAAAGCACCUUCUAGAAAAUGAAAUGAAAGAAAAUGAUCAAAGAAAAAGCCCUUGUUACAUAAGGUUUUGACUUUUUUGUACUCUUGCUGUAAAAUGUGGACAAGCACUGAUGUUCAUUGCAUUUAUUUUGUUCUUUUUUAUUUUUUAAUUGACUGUAAAAUGUGUUUUGACCCGAACAAGAAUGUUGCUGUCUGUAGUGUCACUCCAUCAUCUGAAGAGGAACUACAGCUUUUCUUUUUUGUUCCUUUAGCUAUAUAUAUUCUGUAUAUCUAUAUAUGUAUGAGUAUAAAUAUAAAUAUAGAGUAGAUACGUAAUAUCUAUAGGGAUGUGUACAGUGUGAGGAUGGUUGCUGUGUAUAUACUGUUAUGUAACAAUAGCUGCCAAAGCCAAACUGUGGUUUAACUUUAAACCACAUAUUUAAUAUCUGCUUAAACUGGGUUGACACUACAAGAUUUUAUGCUUUACGUUUAUGGUUUAUCUUUUUCCUAACCGGUUUUCACUUCAUUCUUUAAAGGUAAUUUCAUUUUAGUGCAAGUAGUUUUCUUUACUGUUGAUAACCUUGGUACCACAGCCAGAUUGGGCCCAGUCUUUUCUGGCAGGUUUGGCUGUUAUUGGUGAAACAUUUUCACCACCCUAAUGGAAGUGAAAGGAGGAAAAGCAAAGCAUGUAAAGGUGAGAUACUGUAGAGCUGUGGCCAAAGAGGAGGAGAAAGAAAAGAGGUGUCAACUCAUUAUCACUUACAUGUAGAUAUCAAUGGUUUUGUGCUGCUGCUUUCUGUCUUUCUUUUUUUAAAACUCCGCUCUUAUAUUUAGACUCAUCCCCAGUUCCAGUUCUGGAUGGAGGGGAUCCUCAUGUAAUCACAAUCCAGAAAGAUAUAACACUACCAUUUAUGUAUUUAACUUCCUCAUUUCAGCACUCCCGUGAGUUUAUCCCAACUCAAAUAAACCUGACAUGGUUUGAAAUUGGCUUAUAUUUUUUAUGCACUUCAGGAUUUUCUUUAUAAUUGGUCUCAGCUGUGGUAAUCAGGAUUAAACGUUCUUCCAUUUAUUUUACAUGAUGGCGUGUUCGCCUAAUGUCGCCAUUAAUUUUUUCCCUCUUGGCCUGAUCCCUAGUAAAGAAACCAUACAUACGUUAAAGAUCUCUAUUUGAAAAUGUAGAUCUGAGUUAAAGGUUUUGCAUUAUGCUUCACUGCUUAAAGUUUGUGUAUUCACAACUGUAUUUUAUGUUUCAGUUUCAUUUUUUAUUUCCGCCAUAGAUUCUUUGUAGAAAGGAAAGGGAAUGUUCAACUUUGUUGUACCCCUCCAUGGGGUUGAAAUUGUUAAAGAUGUGUCAGUGUAAAAUGAGAUCAAAUUCAUGUUGUGUUACUUUGUGUGUGAAUAUUAGAAGUCAGAUUAGAUUUGAGUUGUCCCUUAAAUGAUUGCUGUUACAAUUAUUAUUGUUAUUACUAUUACUGAGGUUGAAGCAUCAUUGAUUGGUUGCGACACUAGUCAAGUAGCCCCCCUGCACUCUGGGACUGAUCUGUAUAUGAUGGAUGUAGAAUGCAGCUAACCUGCAAGUCCCUGACUACAUCCUGUAAACACUUUGACAACCUGAACCUUUUCAGGCUAUAUCCUAAACUCUGUACCUUUAUAAUCUUUGGAUAAAAAAUAUCAUGAUGCUGCUUUUAUAUACAUAGUUCAUGUUUAAAAUUUGUUUUCCAGAUUGUAAGUACUCCUGAGGAUUGGUGGACUCAGAAACCCUGAUUAGCAGCAAUCCAAAGCCUUUCAGCAUUAUACAGAAUCAAUAUACCAAAAUCCCUGAGAAGUGUCUGUCUGGAUAUUUUGAAUCAGAUUGUUAAGGUUGACGUAUUUGUCAGCCUUUUUGACCCAUCUGACAUCUUGGUUGUCUCUGCAUAUCAGCCACAGAAAUGUCCCUUCAUAUAAAAUUUGGAACUUCUCUGAUGUAUGUAACUACUGACUGCACAUACUGCAUGACACCAGUUCAGUAAUAACUGCAUGUGUUGAUCAUGUAACAGCUGUAUCACAACACACACACACACACACACACACACAAAUAUGCACGCUCGCACAAAUACUUCUCAAACGAUGUUACUGUCAGACCUAUCGUAUGUAAAUGUGUAAUGUCUCUUUUGGACACAGAGAGCGUGAAUGUGUGAUGAUGGACUUUGACAAUAAAUGAUUCGUACCACUUGA